rnacentral:rRNA from 1 species
AGCUCCAGCAGCGUAUAUUAAAGUUGCUGCGUUUAAAAAGCUCGUAGUUGGAUCUCGGGCCGCCGGCGGCGGUGCGGUCACAUGUCCGUCGACUGCCGUCGGCGCCUAACCGGCGGGACGCAGCGGGUGCCCUUAGCUGGGUCGCCCGCGGCACCCGCCCAGUUUACUUUGGAAAAAUUAGAGUGUUCAAAGCAGGCGCCAGUGCCUGAAUAACGUUGCAUGGAAUAAUGGAAUAGGACCACGGAUCCUAUUUUGUUGGUUUGUGGAGAACGUGGUAAUGAUUAACAGGGACUGCCGGGGGCAUUCGUACUGCGGCGCGAGAGGUGAAAUUCUAAGACCGUCGCAAGACGAACUACUGCGAAAGCAUUUGCCAAGAAUGUUUUCAUUAAUCAAGAACGAA